rnacentral:ncRNA from 1 species
CACCUUAUUCGAAAAGGCCCGGCCAUGAUCAAAGUGCACCACCUCAACCGUUCCCGUUCCCACCGGAUUCUCUGACCGAUAGUGAACCAGUACCGUGAGGGAAAGGUGAAAAGCACCCCGACGAGGGGAGUGAAACAGUACCUGAAACCGAACGCCUACAAUCAGUUGGAGGGCCCUUGCGGCCUGACAGCGUACCUUUUGUAUAAUGGGUCAUCGACUUGGUCUCACGAGCAAGCUUAAGCCGUUAGGUGUAGGCGCAGCGAAAGCGAGUCUUAAUAGGGCGUUGAGUUCGUGGGAUCAGACCCGAAACCGAGUGAUCUAGGCAUGACCAGGAUGAAGGUAAGGUAACACUUACUGGAGGUCCGAACCCACACCUGUUGAAAAAGGUCGGGAUGAGUUGUGCCUAGGGGUGAAAGGCCAAUCAAACUCGGAGAUAGCUGGUUCUCUGCGAAAUCUAUUUAGGUAGAGCGUCAUCCGAAUACCCUCGGGGGUAGAGCACUGGAUGGGUAAUGGGGCCCCACAGGCUUACUGAUCCUAACCAAACUCCGAAUACCGAGGAGUA